rnacentral:misc_RNA from 1 species
AUACUUCGUUGCUUAGUGCUAGUGAUCAUAGUCAUUAUAGAGUCUUGGUCUGAUGGACUAUUUUUCUACUACAAACCCUAGCUCUUCUGGGUCUACUUCAGUGCCAAAUAAGGGCAAAGAGAAGAAGAAAUGUGGCAAGAGAGGCAACAGUGGGGUGAAGCUGUCGACUGACCCCCAAAGUGUUGCUGCCAGGGAAAGAAGACACCGUAUCAGCGAUCGGUUCAAGAUCUUGCAGAGUCUGGUUCCUGGUGGGAGUAAGAUGGACACAGUAUCCAUGUUAGAGGAGGCCAUUAACUAUGUUAAGUUCUUGAAGACUCAGAUAUUGCUUCACCAAACUAUAAUGGAUUUUAUGGAUGACGACCCGUAUCUUUACCUCCCUGCUGCUGGUUCCUUUCCCUCUCAGCAACCUUCAUACUUGGACGCCAACUUUGCAGCUGGAGUGCAACCAGCAACUCCACUGCCGUUCCCUGACUCUUUCUUCCAGGGAGAUGAAGAGGUCCAGAAUCAUGAACCUUUCGAUCAAAACUAGUCUGCUUUUUCUUACUGUAUGUGUGGGGAUGGAUAGGAAUGCGUGUGUGGUGUUAUAAUGCUUAUUUUGUAUUGGCAAGUCAAGGUUGGCUGCAGUUGUAAUGGGGUUUAACAAUUUAUGAAUGUAUAAUUAAGAAAUUAAUUAAUCUUGUGAAAAU